UUCUCUGCCCGGCCACUCCUUCUGUUUCUCCCACGCCACACACUCUCCCACCUAAACCUAAACCUAGGUCACCUGCCGCCGCCGCCUGACUUGCCAGCCGAUUUGCUCGCGUUGUUGCCGUCUCUUCCACCACCAGCGGUGCCUCCCAAAUCCUCCUUCUAGCAUGUGGUGCUUCCCCAUGUUCCAACCCCAAGGUGAUGCCUUAACAGAAGGCAUGACAGGAGAAGAGGAAGGGAGAUCCACCGCGAGCGAAGAAGGCCGGGCGGCGACCAUGGCACGCCCAGAUCGGCCAGCGCCGUCGACGUCGAGCUCCUCUGCUCCCAGUGCCAGAUCCGCCUCGGGCUCCAUCUCCACAACCACGCACCUACAGCCGCCAUGGAAGGUGCUCUGCGUGCUUGCUUCUUCCCUUCCUGGGACGCCGCUGCUCCGACGCCAUGGACAAAUAGAGGAGAAGAGGACAGGUCCUGGAAUCCAAAUUUCCUUCAUGAACAAAUGAAGCACAAUCCUUUGCAGUAGCUGAAGUUUCAGACUGGAUAAAUUACAUUGCAGCACCUGAAGUUUCAGACUGAAUAUAUUAUGUUGGCCACCUGUAUUUGGAAAAUUUACCCGAUGUAGCAUGUACAUUUAGUUUCCUAGAAGGCCAUUGCACUUGUUGUUAAUUAGCAACUCACAUUACAAAAGUGCCAGUGGAAAUUUUUGAAAUUAGUAGUGCAGUUUGCAUCUUUGUAACAGAACAUGUUAUACGAUCAAUAUUAACCAUAAAAAUUGGACUCUGUAUGUAGUGUAUGGGAAGUUUUAAGUGAUUAUGCGAAUAUGCUUUUCCUUCAGUUGUGCAUCAGAUUUCACAAUCAAUAUUUAUUUAUUUUAGAGACUGGAAAAUGAAGAGAGAGAUUAUGGGGUGUGGUGGCCAUUAGUUGCUUCCGCUGUAUGUUGACCUACUUGACUUUCCUUUCGUUAUACAUGCAGCCAAAAUUUAUGGGGGGUGUUAUAUAGGCUGGCAACUGAUUAUAUUGUAGACCAUCUGCUCGCAGCUUGUCUAGGAUUGUUGUUAUUGCUUCAGGGUUCAUAUGAAACAUAUUUCACUUUUGAUAAUUUGGACAUGUUAUUUCCUAAGUGCUAGCUCCAAAACAGGACAUUGAAAUCUUAGUUUCACAUUGGAUGUUUGGAACAUCAAUUGAGUAUCCUUAGUAAUAAACAGAAACCAUAUUCUCAAUAAACUGAUAUUUAUUGUUGAACGUGCCUUUUUCUUUUGAAAUGAUAAUUAUUACUUAGCAUGUGAUGUUGCUUAGUAAUAAACUAAACCAUAUUUUAGUGUUUUCAUUUUCCUCAAUUACCAAGUUUAACAUCCACCUUUUUUAUCUAAUACACUCCAUUAUACUCAAAUAUGUUCUUUACAACCCACAUGUGUUGCAUUUUUUCUGCUAACAGGAGAGUACCACAUUUGUGUAGACUUUCAUUUCUUACAUUCGUUACUUUCAGCCACUGAACAAACCAAGGUAUAGAAAUACAAACACGGAAAAGGCUACCUGUUGGCUGUGGGUGCUGAGCUGACGAACAGUGUGGAAGAAGAAAGUGUGAUCUUGGCAGCGGCCCAUGAAGCUUUUUUUUUCUUUGCAUGUUGAUCACUACUACACUGUUCAGGUUCUUAAUCAAGGUAGUAGUAAAUUCUCCGUGUUUUCCUCUGUACAAAUUUCGACUUGUUUGAUGUUCUUUAAUUUUAUUUCUCCUAAUCAAUCAUCUAAGUUCCCAAUGAAAGUAGCUUUGUGGGUGUGUGUGUGUGAUCAUGCUUCAUUUACUUCUAUCGCUAAGUUUCAGUUAUCUCAAUAUGACCACUAUAAAAGCCAGGCGAUGUUUGCUUGAGAAAAUAGUGUAAUAAACAGAGAUUCUUUGUGUUGCAAAUAAUUCCAUAUACCGAAAGAACAACUCAACCCAGUUUGCAUGCAGCUGGCACAUAUAUUCACCAGAAACUGAUUGACUAUGAUUGUGGGUCGCAAGCAAAGGAAUGCUAACCGUGGUGGUGGUGGUGAUUGAAGAGCCCUUAAUCAAUUCGGCCCUGUAGAUUGGAGCAGCAACCUGGGAUAUUGCACCAUCUAGCUCCGUCUAUCUGAUUCAUCUUCUUUUCUUGGUCUAUCAAUUGGAGGAAUCUACAGAUUCGUGAAUAUGUUCCUGACCUCGCACAAUCGAUAGUCGGUCUGAUCUCGUCCUCCAAUGACCAAGAGUUCCGAGACGAAUGUGUGGUGCCCCUCGCGUAACAUAGGGACAUGGCAGAAAGUAGCAAGUCCACAAGUUGAUCUAAGAUGUUCCGGUGAUCGCUUUUGUUCAUAACAUGGUAGAUACAUUUUGUUCAUAUGGAAGUUGAUGCCGGCUUGGUGAUUGAAGGAUUGGUCUCUUUCAUAAUACUCCCUCUGUACCUAAAUACUUGUAGUUGGGGGAAACUUGACACGUCUUGUAUGUCGACUUAUGUAUUACCUUCAUGGUUGUAGCAAACUUGAGUGAAGAUAACAAAUGUUCAAUAUAUGUUGAAUAAAUGUACUAGUGAAUGGUGUCUUGUGAUGAAUAGAAGAGUGCAAUUAUUUGUAUAUG